UACCCAUUCGAAAAUAUAAAUUUUGUCUUCUUCAAGCACAUCAUCAUAGUUUGGCCGGCCAGCUAAAGUCUCCAAUAAGACCACGCCAAAUGCAAACACAUCAACUUUCUCAGUCAUAUGUCCUCUCAUGGCGUACUCAGGUGCAAGAUAACCACUGGAAAGAGCCAAAAAAACAUCAUUACCUUCACAUUUAUUUUUUUUAAAAGAAAAAAUGCAAAGAUGGAAUAUACUUACAAUGUACCAGCAACUUUUGUGCUAACAUGAGUCAUCUUGUCAUCAUAAAGUUUGGCUAGCCCGAAAUCCGAGAUCUUAGGAUUGAGAUUGGCGUCAAGUAAGACAUUGCUGGCCUUGAUGUCCCUGUGCACAACACGGAUGCUUGACUCUUCAUGAAGAUAAGCCAGACCUCUUGCAAUGCCCAAGCAUAUUUCAAAGCGUGCUGGCCA
rnacentral:sRNA from 1 species